GGAGCCACUGCCAAAUCCAAGGCUACCUUGAGAAAGAGUUCUUCCAGUACUUCAAGCUUUUCCUGGAAGAAACUGAGCAUGUUAAAUGCUCUCUUCUUUGUAUCUGAAGUAAUGUUACUUUCUGUAAUGUUACAUCCUGUAGCCUUGAUUAUCACUAAAAUUAUGUUGACUUCAGUGGAAUUAUUCUCUUUUAUAUGUUAGUAACUACUGCAAGAAUGGUUUCUGGAAGCAUUCUUUAAGGAAGGAAAAUACUAAUAUAUAAAGUUGUAUGUUUUUAUAUGUAUGUUUCGAGAUCUGGAUAUUACAUACUAAAAUUCACUAAAAUGCUGAAAAGAUCCAUUUUGUUUCACUAAAUGCCUAUUUACAUUAAAAAAUAAACAAAAACACAAGUAUUUCCAAUAUCUAGGGCACUCUGUACAUUUAGAAAGCCUAUGCUAUAUAGCCAAAGCCCAUUAGAAAUAUUUUUUAUGUAAAAAAAUAUUUUUGUAAAUAUUUCCAAAAUCAUGAUAUUCAAAUAAGAAAUAUAUUUCCUAGCUGUGUUCCAAGGUUAUAAAUUCAGAUUCCAGGAGCAGAUGCUGAAUCCUUUGUAGCUCCUUAACAAUAAUGCUAUGUGAGGUUUGGAUGUGCAAACUAACUCUGAUUGCUUGCAUGUUUAGAAGUAGAAUGGGGAAGAACAAAUAGCAAAAAAAAAAAACUUUUCUUAAAGCACAGCUUUUGGUUAUGUAGUGGUUCUCUAUUUACUAGCACUGUCUUUUCCCAACUUUUUAAAAGAUUGUUAGAUUGUUAUUUAAUAAAAUUCUCAGAAAAAAAAAUCUUACUUUUUUCAUAUUUUCAUGACUGGCAAUGAAACAGCAAUCACAUAAUACCACCGUGCAUUUCUGAAUAUUAAUUUCUAUUGCUGCAUAUUUUUUACAGACUUUCUUACAACUAUUUUCUUGGUAAGGCUUUGAAAUGUUGAGUUUACUACAAACUGUGGAAACAGUGUAUCAAAGAUGUGAACAAAUACGCUGUUCAUUAAUAUUCAGCGCAAAUUCUUUUUCUAGCUUUAUUACUAAAAAACAGCAUAUAGACUUUUUCUGACUAACUGAUAAUAAUUUUACUUCUUUUUCUUCAACUGCAACUUAGAAGCCUGUUUGCUGCCUGGCUUUAAUCCUGUUGUUUAAUAAAGAAAUAUGAGUGGAUUUCAGGAAAGAAAAAUAACAUAUAAUAGUGAUUUCAACCGUGCUAAAAGCCAUUCAGCAAAACACUCCAAUAAAGUAUCAGCAGCAUGCCACAACAAGUCUAUAGCUUCUUUACUUGGAUUUUGUAGAGCAGGAUCCUACAGUCUUCCAGAGGCUCACUGAGACCUUGGCAGCACAAAAAGCAUAUGACAGAGGAAGCAAAUAGUGCCACAAGCUGGGGAUCUCAGUAGACUAUUGUCUUGAGAACACUCUCUCAAUCAAAACUGUCAGGUUUGAUUCCUUUGGCUCUACUCUGAUUUUGUGGUAAUAAAUAACAUAUUCAAGCUGCUGUGAGCAGCAUAUUGUACUACUUGCAAGACGAAAAGACCACUAAAUCUAAGCAAAAAUCCAAAAGUGCCUACAAUUUUGCUGGAAUUAAUACAACUGCGUAGUUCAAAUAUUCUUUCCUAGUGAGUAACCAAAUGCAUUUUCAUUCUAUUUAAAGUACAAGUAAUAGUGCAGUGUAAUUGUGUUUUCAUAAAUAAAAAUACUAGAGUUUCGCUUGUAAAAAUUUCUGAAUGACUGAAAAAAUCCAAUAAAGGAUCGUUUGAAACAUC
ensembl:lncRNA